AACGCGAAGAACCUUACCCCCCUUUUCAACCCCCGGUAGGGUUCCCAGAGGUGGUUCCUUCACUUCAGGUGGACCGGACACAGGUGCUGCAUGGCUGUCGUCAGCUCGUGUCGUGAGAUGUUGGGUUAAGUCCCGCAACGAGCGCAACCCUCGCCCUUAGUUGCCAUCAUUCAGUUGGGCACUCUAAGGGGACUGCCGGUGAUAAGCCGAGAGGAAGGUGGGGAUGACGUCAAGUCCUCAUGGCCCUUACGGGCUGGGCUACACACGUGCUACAAUGGUGGUGACAGUGGGCAGCGAGCCGGCGAGGGGAGCUAAUCUCCAAAAGCCGUCUCAGUUCGGAUUGCACUCUGCAACUCGAGUGCAUGAAGUGGAAUCGCUAGUAAUCGCGGAUCAGCAUGCG
rnacentral:rRNA from 1 species